rnacentral:sRNA from 2 species
GAGGCCGUGCGAAGUUUUUCUUUUCUUUUUUUUAAAGGUCACCCCGCUCCAACAAUUUGAUAUCUCGUUAGCCUUGAAUUAUCUCGAAAAUUGAUUGAUUGUAAGCUCAUGUCGGCCGAGGAAGAAUGAUGACUCUGGCAGAAACGAAGAAAAUUUCCCCGAUGCGAAAGACGAACGUAAAUAUAUACUUUAUCCCACAAUCGCAUGAGCGAAUGCGGAUAUCGGUGUUGUCGGGGCGGACUCAAACGCGAUACAUGGCUUCCUCAGACUGCGGUAUGCAGAGGGGCUGACUUCAAACGUUGGAGUAAUAACACUAUCUACUCGUACAGUAAUUGCCAAAGGUGGGAAUGGCGCAAUAAGACUCAGGAGGGUAAAGAGUAGCUGUUUCUUUGAGGAAGUUUGGUGGUUGCAUGAAAGAGACCUCUUUUCUUGCC